UACGUAGGGGGCAAGCGUUGUCCGGAUUUAUUGGGCGUAAAGAGCGUGUAGGCGGUUUGGUAGGUCCGUUGUGAAAAUUCGAGGCUCAACCUCGAGACGCCGAUGGAAACCAUCAGACUAGAGUCCGGAAGAGGAGAGUGGAAUUCCUGGUGUAGCGGUGAAAUGCGUAGAUAUCAGGAGGAACACCUGUGGUGUAGACAGCUUACUGGACCACUUCUGACGCUGAGACACGAAAGCGUGGGUAGCAAACAGG
rnacentral:rRNA from 1 species